rnacentral:rRNA from 1 species
CUACCNNAGUACUAUGAAUGAUUAAAAAUUUAAAACUCAAAGAACUUGGCGGUGUUUUAAACCAUUUAGGGGAACUUGUCUCGUAAUCGACAGUCCACGUUGUACCUGACCUUUUUUCGUUUUCAGUUUGUAUACCGUUGUCGUCAGGUAACUUUUUANAAGGCAGAAGUUGGCUCUGGAAAUAUAAUGAUUUANUACGUCAAAUCAAGGUGCAGCUAAUAAAAAGGGGAGGAUGAGUUACAGUUAUAUAGUUAUAAUUACGGAUACCCAUAUGAAAGUGUGGGUAAUGAAGGAGGACUUGAAAGUAAAUUGAUUUAUAAAAGCAGUUUGAAUAAAGCUCUGAAACGUGU